rnacentral:rRNA from 1 species
GAAUAAUACCCUAUGAUAUGAUAGCCUCGCAUGAAGCUAUCAUCAAAGAUUUAUCGGUGUAAGAUGGACUCGCGUCUGAUUAGCUAGUUGGUGGGGUAACAGCCUACCAAGGCAACGAUCAGUAGCCGGCUUGAGAGAGUGUACGGCCACAUUGGGACUGAGACACGGCCCAGACUCCUACGGGAGGCAGCAGUGGGGAAUUUUGCACAAUGGGGGCAACCCUGAUGCAGCGACGCCGCGUGAUUUAGAAGGCCUUCGGGUUGUAAAAAUCUUUUGUAUGGGAAGAAAAUGACAGUACCAUACGAAUAAGGACCGGCUAAUUACGUGCCAGCAGCCGCGGUAAUACGUAAGGUCCGAGCGUUGUCCGGAAUCAUUGGGCGUAAAGGGUACGUAGGCGGAUAAGCAAGUUAGAAGUGAAAUCCUAUAGCUCAACUAUAGUAAGCUUUUAAAACUGUUCAUCUUGAGGUAUGGAAGGGAAAGUGGAAUUCCUAGUGUAGCGGUGAAAUGCGCAGAUAUUAGGAGGAAUACCGGUGGCGAAGGCGACUUUCUGGCCAUAAACUGACGCUGAGGUACGAAAGCGUGGGUAGCAAACAGGAUUAGAUANCCUGGUAGUCCACGCCGUAAACGAUGAGUGUUAGGUGUCUGGAAAAAUCU